rnacentral:rRNA from 1 species
AGCGAACGCUGGCGGCAGGCUUAACACAUGCAAGUCGAGCGGGCACUUUCGGGUGUCAGCGGCGGACGGGUGAGUAACGCGUGGGAACGUGCCCUCUGGUUCGGAAUAACUCAGGGAAACUUGAGCUAAUACCGGAUACGCCCUUUUGGGGAAAGGCUUGCUGCCGGAGGAUCGGCCCGCGUCUGAUUAGCUAGUUGGUGAGGUAACGGCUCACCAAGGCGACGAUCAGUAGCUGGUCUGAGAGGAUGAUCUGCCACACUGGGACUGAGACACGGCCCAGACUCCUACGGGAGGCAGCAGUGGGGAAUAUUGGACAAUGGGCGCAAGCCUGAUCCAGCCAUGCCGCGUGAGUGAUGAAGGCCUUAGGGUUGUAAAGCUCUUUUAUCCGGGACGAUAAUGACGGUACCGGAGGAAUAAGCCCCGGCUAACUUCGUG